rnacentral:rRNA from 1 species
GACGAACGCUGGCGGCGUGCUUAACACAUGCAAGUCGAGCGGUAAGGCCCUUUCGGGGGUACACGAGCGGCGAACGGGUGAGUAACACGUGGGUGACCUGCCCUCAGCUCUGGGAUAAGCCUGGGAAACUGGGUCUAAUACUGGAUAUGACUCCAUGACGCAUGUUGUGGGGUGGAAAGCCUUGUGCGGCUGAGGAUGGGCCCGCGGCCUAUCAGCUUGUUGGUGGGGUGAUGGCCUACCAAGGCGACGACGGGUAGCCGGCCUGAGAGGGCGACCGGCCACACUGGGACUGAGACACGGCCCAGACUCCUACGGGAGGCAGCAGUGGGGAAUCUUGCGCAAUGGGCGAAAGCCUGACGCAGCGACGCCGCGUGAGGGAUGACGGCCU